GGAGGGUAUUCCAAGCGGUUCGGAGAUGGUUUGCUAAACCAUGUUCGCGCAAGCGGACGGUGGGUUCGACUCCCACACCCUCCG
rnacentral:tRNA from 1 species